rnacentral:rRNA from 1 species
CUGAUCAGCGACGCCGCGUGAGGGAUGAAGGCCUUCGGGUUGUAAACCUCUGUCAGAGAGGACGAAGAUAUCCCAAUUUUGGGAUAGGACGGUACUCUCAGAGGAAGCCACGGCCAACUCCGUGCCAGCAGCCGCGGUAAUACGGAGGUGGCAAGCGUUAUCCGGAUUCAUUGGGCGUAAAGGGCGUGUAGGUGUCUCCAUAAGUCGGAUGUGAAAUCCUUCUGCUCAACAGAAGAACGGCAUUCGAAACUGUGGGGAUUGAGUACAGGAGAGGAGAGUGGAAUUCCUGGUGUAGCGGUGAAAUGCGUAGAUAUCAGGAGGAACACCGGUGGCGAAGGCGACUCUCUGGCCUGAUACUGACACUGAAACGCGAAAGCUAGGGGAGCAAACAGGAUUAGAUACCCUGGUAGUCCUAGCUGUAAACGAUGCUCACUAGGUGUGGGAGGUAUCGAUUCCUUCUGUGCCGCAGCUAACGCAUUAAGUGAGCCGCCUGGGAGUACGACCGCAAGGUUGAAACUCAAAGGAAUUGACGGGGGCCCGCACAAGCGGUGGAGCAUGUGGUUCAAUUCGACGCUACGCGAAGAACCUUACCGAGAUUUGACAUGUACUUGCAAUCCGUCUGAAAGGACGGACCUCCUUCGGGACAAGUACACAGGUGGUGCAUGGC